rnacentral:sRNA from 1 species
CGUGUCGGACAGAUCGGGAUACUCAUCAAAUAAUCUUGAAAACUGAGUGUAAUCCCCAUGUCGAUGGCGGGCCACAGACUCUCACAAGGAGUUAGCCGUAAGGUCGGUGGAUUACAAAGACUGAGGAACCCUCACAUCUUGUAAAAAGGAGUUUUCAUCACAAUCGCGACACGAUUCUU